rnacentral:rRNA from 1 species
GAACCUGCGGAAGGAUCAUUACCGAGUGAGGGCCCUCUGGGUCCAACCUCCCACCCGUGUCUAUCGUACCUUGUUGCUUCGGCGGGCCCGCCGUUUCGACGGCCGCCGGGGAGGCCUUGCGCCCCCGGGCCCGCGCCCGCCGAAGACCCCAACAUGAACGCUGUUCUGAAAGUAUGCAGUCUGAGUUGAUUAUCGUAAUCAGUUAAAACUUUCAACAACGGAUCUCUUGGUUCCGGCAUCGAUGAAGAACGCAGCGAAAUGCGAUAAGUAAUGUGAAUUGCAGAAUUCAGUGAAUCAUCGAGUCUUUGAACGCACAUUGCGCCCCCUGGUAUUCCGGGGGGCAUGCCUGUCCGAGCGUCAUUGCUGCCCUCAAGCACGGCUUGUGUGUUGGGCCCCCGUCCCCCUCUCCCGGGGGACGGGCCCGAAAGGCAGCGGCGGCACCGCGUCCGGUCCUCGAGCGUAUGGGGCUUUGUCACCUGCUCUGUAGGCCCGGCCGGCGCCAGCCGACACCCAACUUUAUUUUUCUAAGGUUGACCUCGGAUCAGGUAGGGAUACCCGCUGAACUUAAGCAUAUCAAU